GAUGAACGCUAGCGGCAGGCUUAACACAUGCAAGUCGAGGGGUAUAGGUUUUCGGACCUAGAGACCGGCGCACGGGUGCGUAACGCGUAUGCAAUCUACCUUUCACAGAGGGAUAGCCCAGAGAAAUUUGGAUUAUUACCUCAUAGUAUUAUGAUGUGGCAUCAUUUUAUAAUUAAAGUGCCAACGGUGAAAGAUGGGCAUGCGUCCGAUUAGCUAGAUGGUAAGGUAACGGCUUACCAUGGCUACGAUGGGUAGGGGUCCUGAGAGGGAGAUCCCCCACACUGGUACUGAGACACGGACCAGACUCCUACGGGAGGCAGCAGUGAGGAAUAUUGGUCAAUGGACGAAAGUCUGAACCAGCCAUGCCGCGUGCAGGAUGACGGUCCUAUGGAUUGUAAACUGCUUUUGUACGAGAAGAGACACUCCUUCGUGAAGGAGCUUGACGGUAUCGUAAGAAUAAGGAUCGGCUAACUCCGUGCCAGCCGCCGCGGUAAUAC
rnacentral:rRNA from 1 species